CUAUUCCAUACAGGAAUCUUUGCAUUAAGUGACUGUGAAGUUAAUCAGACACUUUCUUCUGAAAAGGCAAAGGGGAACGAGUAGGGUUAGUUCAGGUCAAGUGCAUGUGCGUGCAGUUGGGCAUGGCUUGGUGAGUCAAUGAGUGGGAGUGAAAUUGUGAAGACACUAAAGCAGGGCUGAAUGGUGGUGUUGACCAGCAGGAAGGAGAGGACUGUACCUACCUCCAUAGAGAGUCUUCUGAAUUUUCAAGUGGGUAUAUGCAGCAGAUACCAGAGUUAAAUACACGCACGCUAAAAUUCUGAGACCCUAGACAUAGAAUUGUGUAAUGCUCUUUUCUGUCUGUUUCUAGAUUUGGGCCACCAUAAAUCCAGCUUGCUUAUUGUUAUGUGACAGCCCAGAUCUUAUCUCUAUCUGCAGCCCCCCCCUCCAAAACUGCUCAGGUCUUGAUACCAGAUGACUACUCAGAUCCGUUUGAUGCCAAAAGUGAGUUGAACAAAAUGGGGAAAGGGGAGAACACUGGCUAUAUGGAACCCUAUGAAGCCCAGAGAAUAAUGACUGGUAAGAGAAGAGAAUUGCGCAUGUGCGUAUGUGAAGUUUAAUUGCAUGGCAGUUCCCAUGCAAAUUACAACAAGGACAGAAAUGUCCUUGGGCGGGUGGACCUGUGUUUUUGAAGAUGCUCAGUCAGUAGUAAAUGCCAUGUAGGACUGUGUCUGCCUUGGCACCUAAAUAGUCCUCUGGAUCUAGCAGUUGAGUAUAGAUGGCUUGGACUGUGCUGGAGGAAGAUGACAGUGAGAGCUGGAGUGUGCAUGGCCCUGCUUGGCAGUGGGAAGGCUGUCACCUGUGUACAUAGCAGGGAUGGCUGAAGCGUAACACUGUACUGGUUCACUUUAAAGCAAUUAGUCUGUUUGCUUGUGACCUUAUUUCUCCAUCUAAUUUCAGCUUCUUAGUCCUCCCUGUAGUGGAGGAGGGCUGCAAAGCUACGUCAUCAUGUUGCUUUCUUCCUUGAUUCUCUGGUGCUCUGUUCUUCUGUAUCUGUGGACAAAACAGGACCUUUUUGGAUGCCUUUAAGCCUUUAACUGCUAUUCUUUGUAGCCUGCUUCCUUUGUUGUCAUGUAGGGAGGUGGCUUAUGGCAGUAGUGUUCUAAGAAUUUGGACUGCUGAACACCCCUUGUCCUCUCAUUAUAUGAGAU
rnacentral:lncRNA from 1 species